AGCGAACGCUGGCGGCAGGCCUAAUACAUGCAAGUCGAGCGCACCUUCGGGUGAGCGGCGGACGGGUGAGUAACGCGUGGGAACGUGCCCUUUGGUACGGGAUAACUGAGGGAAACUUCAGCUAAUACCGUAUGUGCCCUACGGGGGAAAGAUUUAUCGCCAUUGGAGCGGCCCGCGUUGGAUUAGGUAGUUGGUGGGGUAAAGGCCCACCAAGCCGACAAUCCAUAGCUGGUCUGAGAGGAUGAUCAGCCACACUGGGACUGAGACCCGGCCCAGACUCCUACGGGAGGAGGCAGUAGGGAAUCUUGCGCAAUGGUCGAAAGCCUGACGCAGCCAUGCCGCGUGAAUGAUGAAGGUCUUAGGAUUGUAAAAUUCUUUCACCGGGGAAGAUAAUGACGGUACCCGGAGAAGAAGCCCCGGCUAACUUCGUGCCAGCCGCCGCGGUAAAAC
rnacentral:rRNA from 1 species